UGUAUAAUGGGUCAGCGACUUAAUUUUAGUAGCAAGGUUAACCAUCUAGGGGAGCCGUAGGGAAACCGAGUCUUAACUGGGCGUCAUAGUUGCUAGGAUUAGACCCGAAACCGAGUGAUCUAGCCAUGGGCAGGUUGAAGAUUGAGUAACAUCAAUUGGAGGACCGAACCGACUAAUGUUGAAAAAUUAGCGGAUGACUUGUGGCUAGGGGUGAAAGGCCAAUCAAACUCGGAGAUAGCUGGUUCUCCCCGAAAGCUAUUUAGGUAGCGCCUCGGACGAAUACUACUGGGGGUAGAGCACUGUUAAGGCUAGGGGGUCAUCCCGACUUACCAACCCUUUGCAAACUCCGAAUACCAGUAAGUACUAUCCGGGAGACACACGGCGGGUGCUAACGUCCGUCGUGAAGAGGGAAACAACCCAGACCGCCAGCUAAGGUCCCAAAGUUAUAGCUAAGUGGGAAACGAUGUGGGAAGGCUCAGACAGCCAGGAUGUUGGCUUAGAAGCAGCCAUCAUUUAAAGAAAGCGUAAUAGCUCACUGGUCGAGUCGGCCUGCGCGGAAGAUUUAACGGGGCUAAGCUAUACA
rnacentral:rRNA from 1 species